rnacentral:sRNA from 1 species
GGAAGGAUGAGAAGCUUCGACUAAGGUUCGACUCGAGCGCCAGCGAGAGAACGUUGCCGCAGGCAACGGCCCGAAGGGCGAGGCGCUUUAGCGCCGAGUAAUCCUUCCCCCACCACCA